GUCCACAGCCAUACCACCCUGAAUGCACCCGAUCUCGUCUGUUCUCAGAAGCUAAGCAGGAUCGGGCCUGGUUAGAACUUGGAUGGGAAAAAUGUUGAGAGGGCAUUGCUCUCA
ensembl:rRNA 5S_rRNA 5S ribosomal RNA